CGCGUGUACUGGUCCGGCCGGGCCUUUCCUUCUGGAGAUCCCCAUGCCCUUCACUGGGUGUGCGGGGGAACCAGGACUUUUACUUUGAAAAAAUUAGAGUGUUCAAAGCAGGCCUUUGCUCGAAUACGUUAGCAUGGAAUAAUAGAAUAGGACGUGCGGUCCUAUUUUGUUGGUUUCUAGGACCGCCGUAAUGAUUAAUAGGGAUAGUCGGGGGCAUCAGUAUUCAAUUGUCAGAGGUGAAAUUCUUGGAUUUAUUGAAGACUAACUACUGCGAAAGCAUUUGCCAAGGAUGUUUUCAUUAAUCAGUGAACGAAAGUUAGGGGAUCGAAGACGAUCAGAUACCGUCGUAGUCUUAACCGUAAACUAUGCCGACUAGGGAUCGGGCGAUGUUUUUUUCUUGACUCGCUCGGCACCUUACGAGAAAUCAAAGUUUUUGGGUUCUGGGGGGAGUAUGGUCGCAAGGCUGAAACUUAAAGAAAUUGACGGAAGGGCACCACCAGGCGUGGAGCCUGCGGCUUAAUUUGACUCAACACGGGGAAACUCACCAGGUCCAGAUGAAAUAAGGAUUGACAGAUUGAGAGCUCUUUCUUGAUUUUUCAGGUGGUGGUGCAUGGCCGUUCUUAGUUGGUGGAGUGAUUUGUCUGCUUAAUUGCGAUAACGAACGAGACCUUAACCCGCUAAAUAGCCAGGCUAGCUUUGGCUGGUCGCCGGCUUCUUAGAGGGACUAUCGG
rnacentral:rRNA from 1 species